AACCUAUAAACGGCAGGUUAACCUAUAAACGUACAACCCACAGGGCUUCGGGGCGCUUCUCAGCUCAGAAAACAAACACAAUCCUUUGUUGAACUGAUCUCCUCAUUAUGGCAAGCCCCUCCCCUCUGGCUGUCACCUGCACAGGGCCCCUUGGCUCCCUCCCUCCUGCUGCUCAGAGCUCACUCAGGGCGGAAACAGAGCGGACAGAUGCAGCCUAAUGCAGUCCCACAGUAUCUAUUUGUCAGCCAGAACCCAGAAGGAAAGUGAGCUCUUUCCACCAUCAUUUCAAAAAGAAUGAAAACAACAACCAUGGCUGCUGGGGAUUAAAAUUCACAGGAAGGCAAAACUCCCAGAAGCACGACUGUGGUGGAGUUUUAAUGAAACCAGCAGCCACAAACGGUGACUGAUUCCCUAACUGCCCCCGGCAACGCUGUGUGAUCUCACGCUUCGCUUGUGCAGGGAGGCAUUCCACCUUAUUAGAUUUAUAACGGAUUAUCUGCAGAGCAAAGCCUGCAAAGUGAAAGUCGUCAGGACAAACUGGAUUUCAACACUCCUUGUUUACAGCACAACCUCAGACGUCAGGCCUGUUUCUUCAUCUUCUGACACAGGGACCCUCUGCCCUUGGCGCUCUUGGAAAAUGCUGACGAACCACAAGGGAAGAUGGCCAUUGCACUCUUCUUCACUCCUGCCCCACACCCUGGCAUCGUGAAUAGGUACUUAUUCUUCGUGGGGCACCCUCAGUUGGUUUCCGGAGGGCAGGUGCGUCACUGGAGUACCGAAUUCAGGCUUCGAAAAACAGGACUUCGAGAUGCGCUUAUUUUCAAGGGAACAGCCCCAGAGUACGGAGACGCUGCACCCACAUACAGCGGCAGGCGCCAGGAGGAAAGGGCAGAAGAGUGGACGCCACGGAUGGUAAGCUGCCACCCAUGGAUGGGAACACCAGGCGCAGACCAGCCGCGGCACCCAUGGCUCUCCAGCUACACAUGCAACCAGCAUGGAAUGAGACAUCAACAAUCCCAUCUCCUUAACCUCACUCUGCACCGACACCCGUGGCAGCUUUGGGGUGGUCUCCUAAUAAUGCGCUGUGAAUGCUGCAGCUGGAUCAACGGCGAGGACUACAGGGCUCACCAGGGCGCAGUGACAACAGGAAAAAUGGAAUUCAGCAGGAGCCCCCGAGGCCAUCCUCAGCCAGGAACUGUGUUGGGCUGCAGGAAUGCAGCGAAGCUGGAGUGAGCCAGCGGUCCUCAUGUCUCCCAGGCAGGCGGGACCAGCGGCCGACGGGGGCUUCUGAGAGUUACAGGGCAGUGCCUGGGUCAAGACUGCUGUUGGGGAGUCCUCAGGCUUGACAUGGGGUCGCCAAAGUGCAGAAUACAAAGGAGCUACGAUACUCAUCUUAAAAAAUUACUUCUAGGAGUCAUAGAAUGUGAGCCUAUGGCGCAAAAACGAAAUAACACGAGUGGCCUCUUGAGGGCUGCUCUUGGCCGGUCACGGAAAGGCCGGUGAGCUGAAGCCCUGGGCGGGAUGCAGAGAUUGCCUGCAGUGACUCCCCCUGACCCGCGCCUUCUGCCUGGCACGCACCUGUUUCCUGCAGCCAGCUUGAAAACUCUUCUCCCAGGCUUGAAAAACAGCAGCCAGUUGCAGUUGCUCAUGGUCAGGGCUGUGAGGGAGGCAAGCCUGGCCUGUCCACAGCACAGAGCAGCGCCAUCAGUAAAGUGAAGACUGAGUCCUCUCUGUGUUCCGCCUGCCGGGAAUGUUGGGAUCACAGGGAUCCCGAAGCGUGUGGUGCUUGUGGAGCUCUCAACUGCUCCACCCUAAACUCGAGUGGGCUUGUUAAAAUGGACAGGGUCCCAGUGGAGGCUGGUGGGCCAAUCUCCACAGGGACAAGUGACGUGUUUGUUACACAUGGCUGCUAGGUUGCUCUGAAUUCUGAAGACAAAAAUGAUAAAGCAUGGACUGAAAGAGCUCAGGAAAGUGUCCUCUCCUUGGUUUGUUGAACACUGACAUUAGCAGGCCAGUGCGUCGGGAAAAAGCAGCAGCAACAACUCCCAAGCCAACAAAUGUCAAGGCAAUGGUGCAAAGUCCAAAGACCCAGAGCCCCCAAGCAGCCCCUCAGGGUUCAGCCAGAAACCUCCCAGCCCCUGUUCCCUCAAGGCCAGAGGGGGCCGAGGACAGAGCUCUCAGGGCUCACCUUUGAAGCACAGGCACUCACAGAAUGGUUUGGCACCCAUGAGAGGGGACACGGAGCUGUCCCUGAGCCUGUCCUCCAGGGCCAGCCCAGCUUUGGGAUGCAGCCUCCCCUGCAAUCUGCCACUAAGUCUACAGACAACUGAUACUACUACUUUACUUCCAUUUCUCAACAGUGAUUAUGAAAUAAAGACACUGAACAAAGUGUCUUACAUAUAAAGGAAGGGAAACUGGGAUCCUGUGGUCAAGAGAAUUACCAGCUAGGGCAGAAACAGAAGGACGCACCCCUAAGCUUCUCUGCAUACUAGGUGGACACAGUAAUAUCUGCAUGUGGGCUAACGCCAGGUAGCCAAGACCUCAGCUGAACAACUUCUACCCACGGACCACGUGAGCAUCUCAGAAGCACCAGGUAGCAUAUGGUCAUAGGCUUUUGAUGCUCUACAUCUGUGCUGUCCAACAGGUGCCAUGAACCACGUGUGGCUCAAAAUGCAGCUGGCCCGAAUGGAGACAUGCUCUGUGUCUAGGCCCCAGUGACUUGCCAAGACUUAGCAAGAACAACAACGGCAGCCGUGUUGGUGGCGGCCUGCCACUUCCCAGAUCAGGCCAUGAGAGACCCUGUGGCUUCCAUGUUGGCCAGGUUUCCUCUCGGGUUGCUCCCUCUGGGAAGCCAGCUGCUAUGCUGUGAGCAGCCCUGUGGACGAGGACCUCAGGCCUCUUGCCUGCGGCCAUGUGAGCGAGCCUGAAUGGAGCUCCUCCCGCCUCAGUCCAGUCAGCCCUGCAGAUGAGACCAUAGCCCUGUCUGACAUCUUAACAGCAACAUAAUGGGAAACCCCAGCAGCUAAGCUGCUCUAGGAUUCCUGACCCACAGAGCAAGAUAACGCAAGCUUGCUAUUUUAAACUGCUAAGUGUUGGAGUAAUUUUAUUACACAGAUAUACAUGACUUAAUCUGGUUUUGUGGGAUUUUUCACUUUGUUUAAUGUGACCACUAGAAUAUUUAAAAUUACUGGUGGAAUUUUAAUAUACUCAUGUAUAUUUCUAUUAGACAGUGUUGCUCUAAAUGGUUUUAAAUGCAGUGACAGCAUAUUAUAAUCACAGAUAUCAUAACUAGCCUGCCAACUACAUAAUAUAACUUUGCUACAUAUCACUAGUACAUAUUUCCAAUUGAUUUAAUUUUAAAACAUGGUAUCAGAUUAAAUAUUUGUAGAGAGUAAGUACCAAAAAAGUCUUUGUUUUUUCCUUACUGUAUUUAAAUUAAAAUAAAAUACUAUCUUUUUCUAGUUAUAAAAGGUUAGUAGAGAAAACAGAAAAUAUAGAGAAGUCCUAAGAAAAAAAAAACACACAGAUUUGUCAAUCCAGCUCCCAGCAACGAUCAUUAAGGUUCUGGUGCUUCUUCCCUUUGGUAGGUUUUCUAUUUCUGGGCACGUUUCAGAGGAAAUUAGGUGAUAAGCAUUUUUCCUAUUUGGAAUAUGCUUCCACACAAUGACUUGAGACCGCUGUUCCCACUCAGCACCACAUCCCGUGUAAUACACGGAAGUGCUGCCCGCGGUUUGUCGCCUCCUGCAGGAACCUCGCUUCAUGCCUGGGGCCCCGGCACACGCCGCAGAGACAGAGGCCUGGAGUCACGGGAGUUCAGGGUGCCGGAGGCCUGGCCCACCCGCACCCACGCGUGC